rnacentral:piRNA from 1 species
UCNGCCUAUUCUCCCAGCUCCAGAGUGCC